CCGCCGCCCUCCAUCCACCUCGCCUCCGCCGCCGCUCCGCCGUCCCCCUUCCGCCCUCGCCCUCGCCUCCCCCGCUCCCGCGCCGAUGCGCGCUGCGGAUCCGCGACUUCCCGGCAUCGAUCCCCCACGCGCGGUGCGCGCGACCGCCGUCCCCGAAGCCCCGACGCCAUCUCUCCCCGCCCGCUCGUUGCCGUGCGCGCCUCUCUUACCCCUCUCCGGUCUCCGCUUCUCCGCGCCUGCGUGCGACGCCCCGCCGCGGCAGCCGCCAUCUCCGCCAUGCUCGACGACCCCACCACGCGGCUGCCCUGCCGGCACGGAUCCCCCACGCGCGGUGCGUGCAGCCGCCGCCCUCCACACCUACAUCGCGCGAGAGGCCGCGACUGGGAGAGGCGAGAACGCCGCGGGGCCCUGGGGCUGCUGGUGGCGGUCGGACGUCGUGUCCCAGCAAGACGACCACGAUCGCACGAAUCGAAGCUGGGCAGGGCGUCACUAGGGGCGGGAGAAGGUUCGAUCCGUUCAAGAUCACGCGAAGUUAAGCUGGGCAGGGCUGCCGACGUUGUUGAAGGGCCGCGUCCCCGGCACCAGCGAGAGACUGUACUUAGCCGUGCGUUGCUGCAGACAGCUCCUGGUGUAUUCUUGUUUGAUCCUGCUAGACAAGAGGGCCUGAGUGGCGACAACUCAGGCGAUGGAAUUGGUCUUUGUUUGUUAGAGUUCAGCAAAUUCAGUUGUAGCAAGGCACUGUGCCUUAUAGAGAGAUGGGGCUUCAAUUGCUCAAUGCCGUAAGUUUAGCCACCACUGCCCUUUUCUUUCAAUUCUCAGACUAAAUGCUUGUUUGUUAGAGUUCAGCAAAUUCAGUUGUAGCAAGGCACUGUGCCUUAUGGAGAGAUGGGGCUUCAGUUGUCCAACGCCCAUGAACCUAUUUUUGGAAGCCUAAAUAUGUUCAUUCCAAGUUUCAUCUACAGACUGGUACUCUGGUUUCGCCAUUGUCUGGUUGCCCCACACAUUAAUCUGAGUCAAGUUCCUUCUCGAGAAGGACGCCAAUGUCAUCCUUGACAGCCACCUGAAUCACAGAUCUUAAAUACACCGAUACUUGUGUUUAUGACUCUAGAUGAAGUGCUUGAAGCUAAGACCAUUAUUCAAUAUCGUGUGAAAGCCCAUAGCAUCUAAUAUCUACUCAUGGGAAGAGUUUCUGCGACUGGUUUUUGUAAGGCAAUGCUCACUGUCAUCAACAAGACCUGAAUUGUAGGUGGUAUUGUUUCCUGUCCAGCAAGAGCACUGAAUCAUCAUGAUAAUUUCAAUCUGACAGUAAGAGGGUGCAGCACCUGAGGAUGGGAAGAGCCAUUGGGAGACACAUGCGCCCGCUUGAUGGCCGUCACCCUAGGGUGAGCUGGCUCUCAACUGUGAGCUGCUACUAUGUGCAACAAUGAGGGGAGGCAGUAGUUAUAGCACUCAGUACCCAUGGGUGCUUAACACAUCGUGCGACCAUUGAAGCUAGAAUACCCCUCAGGCAACCCGUGAGACACUUUUAAACACACUGCAUUGACCAUGGAUUACGAGCUUAUGGUCAACCUGGAAAACUUAGACAUGAGGUUUAAUUUUCAGCUGCAUUACCUAGAUAAAUCACCAUAUGUACAUGGUUGUUCAGUGGCAACUACUGUGGCUCUAACAUGUCAUGUGGGGCCAGACCUACUCAAGGCGGCGCAGGAUUCGUGACUUGCGCAGGGCAGCAGAGGGCGCGGCUCCUUCGCGUGGAAUGCACGCUGAUCAGGCAGGCCAAAGUGGCUAAUAGGAAAGUUAUCUAAUAAAGUCCUUAAGUUUAGAAGUAUGGAGUCCCUAAGUUUAGGAGCAAGUUGCUCUGGUUAGUUGGCCACGGGCCUAUUUAUACUUGUAAACAGAUUUCAGGAAGGAUUAAGCAAUAUAUUAUCUUACCAAAAC